rnacentral:rRNA from 1 species
UACGGAGGGUGCAAGCGUUAAUCGGAAUUACUGGGCGUAAAGCGCGCGUAGGUGGUUUGCUAAGUGGGAUGUGAAAGCCCCGGGCUUAACCUGGGAACUGCAUUCCAAACUGGCAGGCUAGAGUACAAGAGAGGAGGGUAGAAUUUCAGGUGUAGCGGUGAAAUGCGUAGAGAUCUGAAGGAAUACCAGUGGCGAAGGCGGCCCUCUGGCUUGAUACUGACACUGAGGUGCGAAAGCGUGGGUAGCGAACAGG